ACUCCGGUUGAUCCUGCCGGACCCGACCGCUAUCGGGGUAGGGCUAAGCCAUGGGAGUCGAACGCCCCGCCGCUGCGGGGCGUGGCGGACGGCUGAGUAACACGUGGCUAACCUACCCUCGGGACGGGGAUAACCCCUCGGGAAACUGGGGCUAAUCCCCGAUAGGCGGGGGGUGCCUGGAAGGGUCCUCCGCCGAAAGGGGCCGCGGGGGGUUAUCGCCCGCGGUCCGCCCGAGGAUGGGGCUGCGGCCCAUCACGGUAGUUGGCGGGGUAAUGGCCCGCCAAGCCUACGACGGGUAGGGGCCGUGAGAGCGGGAGCCCCCAGAUGGGCACUGAGACAAGGGCCCAGGCCCUACGGGGCGCACCAGGCGCGAAAACUCCGCAAUGCGGGCAACCGUGACGGGGCUACCCCGAGUGCCCCCCUUGGGGGGGCUUUUCCCCGCUGUAAGUAGGCGGGGGAAUAAGCGGGGGGCAAGACUGGUGUCAGCCGCCGCGGUAAUACCAGCCCCGCGAGCGGUCGGGGUGCUUACUGGGCCUAAAGCGCCCGUAGCCGGCUCGACAAGUCCCCGCCUAAAGCCCCGGGCUCAACCCGGGGAGUGGCGGGGAUACUGUCGGGCUAGGGGGCGGGAGAGGCCGAGGGUACUCCCGGGGUAGGGGCGAAAUCCAUUAAUCCCGGGAGGACCACCAGUGGCGAAGGCGCUCGGCUGGAACGCGCCCGACGGUGAGGGGCGAAAGCCGGGGGAGCGAACCGGAUUAGAUACCCGGGUAGUCCCGGCUGUAAACGAUGCGGGCUAGGUGUUGGGCGGGCGUGCGAGCCCGCCCAGUGCCGCAGGGAAGCCGUUAAGCCCGCCGCCUGGGGAGUACGGCCGCAAGGCUGAAACUUAAAGGAAUUGGCGGGGGAGCACCACAAGGGGUGGAGCCUGCGGCUUAAUUGGAGUCAACGCCGGGAACCUCCACCGGGGGCGACAGCAGGAUGACGGCCAGGCUGAAGGCCUUGCCCGACGCGCUGAGGGGAGAUGCAUGGCCGUCGCCAGCUCGUGCCGUGAGGUGUCCUGUUAAGUCAGGCAACGAGCGAGACCCCCGCCCCUAGUUGCCAUCCCCGGGGCGACCCGGGGGGCACACUAGGGGGACUGCCGCCGCUAAGGCGGAGGAAGGAGGGGGCAACGGCAGGUCAGCAUGCCCCUAAACCCCCGGGCUGCACGCGGGCUACAAUGGCGGGGACAGCGGGUGCCGACCCCGAAAGGGGGAGGCAAUCCCUCAAACCCCGCCUCAGUUGGGAUCGAGGGCUGCAACUCGCCCUCGUGAACGUGGAAUCCCUAGUAACCGCGCGUCAUCAUCGCGCGGUGAAUACGUCCCUGCUCCUUGCACACACUGCCCGUCGCUCCACCCGAGGGGGGAGGGGGUGAGGCCCUCUCCGCCGGGAGGGGGUCGAACCCCCUCCCCCCGAGGGGGGAGAAGUCGUAACAAGGUAGCCGUAGGGGAACCUGCGGCUGGAUCACCUCNNN
rnacentral:rRNA from 1 species